rnacentral:snRNA from 22 species
UCACAGACCUUGUUGAACCGUGCCCGCUCACGAAUGGGCUUCGGUCUAGACAAGAGUCUGCAUUGCACACUGCGGUACUCCAAUCUAGUGCUUCUCCUUCGGGGGCAGCAUCGGCGCAAUUUUUGCUGGCUCUUGCUCAUCGAGCACCAU